GACGAACGCUGGCGGCGUGCUUAACACAUGCAAGUCGAACGGUAAGGCCCUUCGGGGUACCCGAGUGGCGAACGGGUGAGUAACACGUGGGUGAUCUGCCCUGCACUUUGGGAUAAGCCUGGGAAACUGGGUCUAAUACCGAAUAUGACUACAGGCUGCAUGGUCUGUGGUGGAAAGCUUUUGCGGUGUGGGAUGGGCCCGCGGCCUAUCAGCUUGUUGGUGGGGUGAUGGCCUACCAAGGCGACGACGGGUAGCCGGCCUGAGAGGGUGACCGGCCACACUGGGACUGAGAUACGGCCCAGACUCCUACGGGAGGCAGCAGUGGGGAAUAUUGCACAAUGGGCGCAAGCCUGAUGCAGCGACGCCGCGUGAGGGACGACGGCCUUCGGGUUGUAAACCUCUUUCAGCACAGACGAAGCGCAAGUGACGGUAUGUGCAGAAGAAGGACCAGCCAACUACGUG
rnacentral:rRNA from 1 species